rnacentral:rRNA from 1 species
AUUGAACGCUGGCGGCAUGCCUAACACAUGCAAGUCGAACGGGGCGCUUCGGCGCCUAGUGGCGGACGGGUGAGUAAAGCGUAGGAAUCUGCCUUGUAGUGGGGGACAACCUGGGGAAACUCAGGCUAAUACCGCAUACGCUCGCGAGAGGAAAGCGGGGGAUCUUCGGACCUCGCGCCGCAAGAAGAGCCUACGUCCGAUUAGCUAGUUGGUAGGGUAAAAGCCUACCAAGGCGACGAUCGGUAGCUGGUCUGAGAGGAUGAUCAGCCACACUGGGACUGAGACACGGCCCAGACUCCUACGGGAGGCAGCAGUGGGGAAUAUUGGACAAUGGGCGCAAGCCUGAUCCAGCAAUGCCGCGUGGGUGAAGAAGGCCUGCGGGUUGUAAAGCCCUUUAAGUGGGGAGGAACGGCGGGAUGCGAACAGUGUUCUGCUCUGACGUUACCCACAGAAUAAGCACCGGCUAACUCCGUGCCAGCAGCCGCGGUAAAGU